rnacentral:rRNA from 1 species
UACGUAGGGGGCUAGCGUUGCUCGGAAUUACUGGGCGUAAAGGGCGCGUAGGCGGACUGUUUAGUCAGAGGUGAAAGCCCAGGGCUCAACCUUGGAACUGCCUUUGAUACUGACUGUCUUGAGUUCGGGAGAGGUGAGUGGAAUGCCGAGUGUAGAGGUGAAAUUCGUAGAUAUUCGGCGGAACACCAGUGGCGAAGGCGACUCACUGGCCCGAUACUGACGCUGAGGCGCGAAAGCGUGGGGAGCAAACAGG